GAGGAUAUAGCUCAAGUGGUAGAGCGCAUGCUUAGCAUGCACAAGGUCCUGGGUUCAAUUCCCAGUACCUCCU
rnacentral:tRNA from 1 species